CUGCUGACUAACUCCGGACUGAUUCCUAGGCAGUCUUCUCUUUGUUUUGGAUCCUAUUUCUCUGGGACUGCCUACCUUGCACAGGGAGUUAAUUUAAAUAGGCUGCUGGUGCUGAAUGUGCUGAAAGUGGGCAGCUGGAACCAAACAUCACAUGCAGUCUUGUUCUCCUGAAGGGUUACGGUGGGAACUGUGAGGGAGAAUGAGAGGAGUGAAGGCUGAGUAGCAUUUCUGCUAUUCUGCCUUGGACGUUUACCGAGGAGCGUAAGUGGAUUGAAAUCAGGAUUGAAAUCAGUCUGCUACACUGGCCAGUAGCGGAACACUUUUUCCUUGAAAAC